rnacentral:rRNA from 1 species
UACGGGGGGAGCAAGCGUUGUUCGGAUUUACUGGGCGUAAAGGGCGCGUAGGCGGCGCAACAAGUCACUUGUGGAAUCUCCGGGCUUAACUCGGAAAGGUCAAGUGAUACUGUUGUGCUAGAGUGCGGAAGGGGCAACUGGAAUUCUCGGUGUAGCGGUGAAAUGCGUAGAUAUCGAGAGGAACACCUGCGGCGAAGGCGGGUUGCUGGGCCGACACUGACGCUGAUGCGCGAAAGCCAGGGGAGCGAACGGG